rnacentral:rRNA from 1 species
GACGAACGCUGGCGGCAUGCCUAAUACAUGCAAGUCGAGCGAACAGAUGAAGUGCUUGCACUUCUGACGUUAGCGGCGAACGGGUGAGUAACACGUAAGGAAUCUACCUAUAAGCGGGGGAUAACAUUCGGAAACGGGUGCUAAUACCGCAUAAUAUCUUCUUCCGCAUGGAAGGAGAUUGAAAGACGGCUCUGCUGUCACUUAUAGAUGACCUUGCGGUGCAUUAGUUAGUUGGUGGGGUAACGGCCUACCAAGACGAUGAUGCAUAGCCGGCCUGGGAGGGUGAUCGGCCACAUUGGGACUGAGAAACGGCCCAAACUCCUAUGGGAGGCAGCAGUAGGGAAUCUUCCGCAAUGGGCGAAAGCCUGACGGAGCAAUGCCGCGUGAGUGAAGAAGGCCUUCGGGUCGUAAAACUCUGUUAUAAGAGAAGAACAAAUUGUAGAGUAACUGCUACAGUCUUGACGGUAUCUUAUCAGAAAGCCACGGCUAACUACGUGCCAGCAGCCGCGGUAA